AUUGAACGCCGGCGGCAGGCCUAACACAUGCAAGUCGAGCGGAUGAAGGGAGCUUGCUCCUGGAUUCAGCGGCGGACGGGUGAGUAAUGCCUAGGAAUCUGCCUGGGAGUGGGGGAUAACGUCCGGAAACGGGCGCUAAUACCGCAUACGUCCUGAGGGAGAAAGUGGGGGAUCUUCGGACCUCACGCUAUCAGAUGAGCCUAGGUCGGAUUAGCUAGUUGGUGGGGUAAAGGCCUACCAAGGCGACGAUCCGUAACUGGUCUGAGAGGAUGAUCAGUCACACUGGAACUGAGACACGGUCCAGACUCCUACGGGAGGCAGCAGUGGGGAAUAUUGGACAAUGGGCGAAAGCCUGAUCCAGCCAUGCCGCGUGUGUGAAGAAGGUCUUCGGAUUGUAAAGCACUUUAAGUUGGGAGGAAGGGCAGUAAGUUAAUACCUUGCUGUUUUGACGUUACCAACAGAAUAAGCACCGGCUAACUUCGUG
rnacentral:rRNA from 1 species